rnacentral:rRNA from 1 species
UCAAGUGAAGAAGCGCAUACGGUGGAUGCCUUGGCAGUCAGAGGCGAUGAAAGACGUGGUAGCCUGCGAAAAGCUUUGGGGAGUCGGCAAACAGACUGUGAUCCAGAGAUCUCUGAAUGGGGGAACCCAGCCAGCAUAAGCUGGUUAUCUUGUACUGAAUACAUAGGUGCAAGAGGCGAACCAGGGGAACUGAAACAUCUAAGUACCCUGAGGAAAAGAAAUCAACCGAGAUUCCCUUAGUAGUGGCGAGCGAACGGGGACCAGCCCUUAAGUUGGUUUGAGAUUAGUGGAACGCUCUGGAAAGUGCGGCCAUAGUGGGUGAUAGCCCCGUACACGAAAAUCUCUUAUCAAUGAAAUCGAGUAGGACGGAGCACGAGAAACUUUGUCUGAAUAUGGGGGGACCAUCCUCCAAGGCUAAAUACUACUGACUGACCGAUAGUGAACUAGUACCGUGAGGGAAAGGCGAAAAGAACCCCGGAGAGGGGAGUGAAAUAGAUCCUGAAACCGUAUGCGUACAAGCAGUGGGAGCCUACUUUGUUAGGUGACUGCGUACCUUUUGUAUAAUGGGUCAGCGACUUAUAUUCAGUGGCGAGCUUAACCGAAUAGGGGAGGCGUAGCGAAAGCGAGUCUUAAUAGGGCGUUUAGUCGCUGGGUAUAGACCCGAAACCGGGCGAUCUAUCCAUGGGCAGGUUGAAGGUUAGGUAACACUGACUGGAGGACCGAACCGACUACCGUUGAAAAGUUAGCGGAUGACCUGUGGAUCGGAGUGAAAGGCUAAUCAAGCUCGGAGAUAGCUGGUUCUCCUCGAAAGCUAUUUAGGUAGCGCCUCAUGUAUCACUGUAGGGGGUAGAGCACUGUUUCGGCUAGGGGGUCAUCCCGACUUACCAAACCGAUGCAAACUCCGAAUACCUACAAGUGCCGAGCAUGGGAGACACACGGCGGGUGCUAACGUCCGUCGUGAAAAGGGAAACAACCCAGACCGUCAGCUAAGGUCCCAAAGUCAUGGUUAAGUGGGAAACGAUGUGGGAAGGCUUAGACAGCUAGGAGGUUGGCUUAGAAGCAGCCACCCUUUAAAGAAAGCGUAAUAGCUCACUAGUCGAGUCGGCCUGCGCGGAAGAUGUAACGGGGCUCAAACCAUGCACCGAAGCUACGGGUAUCACCUUUUGGUGAUGCGGUAGAGGAGCGUUCUGUAAGCCUGUGAAGGUGAGUUGAGAAGCUUGCUGGAGGUAUCAGAAGUGCGAAUGCUGACAUGAGUAACGACAAUGCGAGUGAAAAACUCGCACGCCGAAAGACCAAGGUUUCCUGCGCAACGUUAAUCGACGCAGGGUUAGUCGGUCCCUAAGGCGAGGCUGAAAAGCGUAGUCGAUGGAAAACAGGUUAAUAUUCCUGUACUUCCAGUUAUUGCGAUGGAGGGACGGAGAAGGUUAGGCCAGCCUGGCGUUGGUUGUCCAGGUUUAAGGUGGUAGGCUGAAAUCUUAGGCAAAUCCGGGAUUUCAAGGCCGAGAGCUGAUGACGAGUUGCCUUUAGGCGACGAAGUGGUUGAUACCAUGCUUCCAAGAAAAGCUCCUAAGCUUCAGAUAACUGGGAACCGUACCCCAAACCGACACAGGUGGUUAGGUAGAGAAUACCAAGGCGCUUGAGAGAACUCGGGUGAAGGAACUAGGCAAAAUGGCACCGUAACUUCGGGAGAAGGUGCGCCGGCGAGGGUCAAGGACUUGCUCCGUAAGCCCAUGCCGGUCGAAGAUACCAGGCCGCUGCGACUGUUUAUUAAAAACACAGCACUCUGCAAACACGAAAGUGGACGUAUAGGGUGUGACGCCUGCCCGGUGCCGGAAGGUUAAUUGAUGGGGUUAGCGCAAGCGAAGCUCUUGAUCGAAGCCCCGGUAAACGGCGGCCGUAACUAUAACGGUCCUAAGGUAGCGAAAUUCCUUGUCGGGUAAGUUCCGACCUGCACGAAUGGCGUAACGAUGGCGGCGCUGUCUCCACCCGAGACUCAGUGAAAUUGAAAUCGCUGUGAAGAUGCAGUGUAUCCGCGGCUAGACGGAAAGACCCCGUGAACCUUUACUAUAGCUUUGCACUGGACUUUGAAUUUGCUUGUGUA